rnacentral:rRNA from 1 species
GACGAACGCUGGCGGCGUGCUUAACACAUGCAAGUCGAACGGAAAGGCCCUGCUUUUGUGGGGUGCUCGAGUGGCGAACGGGUGAGUAACACGUGAGUAACCUGCCCUUGACUUUGGGAUAACCUCAGGAAACUGGGGCUAAUACCGGAUAGGAGCUCCUGCUGCAUGGUGGGGGUUGGAAAGUUUCGGCGGUUGGGGAUGGACUCGCGGCUUAUCAGCUUGUUGGUGGGGUAGUGGCUUACCAAGGCUUUGACGGGUAGCCGGCCUGAGAGGGUGACCGGCCACAUUGGGACUGAGAUACGGCCCAGACUCCUACGGGAGGCAGCGGUGGGGAAUAUUGCACAAUGGGCGGAAGCCUGAUGCAGCAACGCCGCGUGCGGGAUGACGGCCUUCGGGUUGUAAACCGCUUUCGCCUGUGACGAAGCGUGAGUGACGGUAAUGGGUAAAGAAGCACCGGCUAACUACGUGCCAGCAGCCGCGGUGAUACGUAGGGUGCGAGCGUUGUCCGGAUUUAUUGGGCGUAAAGGGCUCGUAGGUGGUUGAUCGCGUCGGAAGUGUAAUCUUGGGGCUUAACCCUGAGCGUGCUUUCGAUACGGGUUGACUUGAGGAAGGUAGGGGAGAAUGGAAUUCCUGGUGGAGCGGUGGAAUGCGCAGAUAUCAGGAGGAACACCAGUGGCGAAGGCGGUUCUCUGGGCCUUUCCUGACGCUGAGGAGCGAAAGCGUGGGGAGCGAACAGGCUUAGAUACCCUGGUAGUCCACGCUGUAAACGGUGGGUACUAGGUGUGGGGUCCAUUCCACGGGUUCCGUGCCGUAGCUAACGCUUUAAGUACCCCGCCUGGGGAGUACGGCCGCAAGGCUAAAACUCAAAGGAAUUGACGGGGCCCCGCACAAGCGGCGGAGCAUGCGGAUUAAUUCGAUGCAACGCGUAGAACCUUACCUGGGUUUGACAUGGAUCGGGAGUGCUCAGAGAUGGGUGUGCCUCUUUUGGGGUCGGUUCACAGGUGGUGCAUGGCUGUCGUCAGCUCGUGUCGUGAGAUGUUGGGUUAAGUCCCGCAACGAGCGCAACCCUUGUUCACUGUUGCCAGCACGUUAUGGUGGGGACUCAGUGGAGACCGCCGGGGUCAACUCGGAGGAAGGUGGGGAUGACGUCAAGUCAUCAUGCCCCUUAUGUCCAGGGCUUCACGCAUGCUACAAUGGCUGGUACAGAGAGUGGCGAGCCUGUGAGGGUGAGCGAAUCUCGGAAAGCCGGUCUCAGUUCGGAUUGGGGUCUGCAACUCGACCUCAUGAAGUCGGAGUCGCUAGUAAUCGCAGAUCAGCAACGCUGCGGUGAAUACGUUCCCGGGGCU